rnacentral:miRNA from 1 species
UUUCUAUGAUUCUAUUGCUGGCU